GGCGGGGUAUCCGAGCCAGGUCUAAAUUUGCCCCUAAGAUAUGGAGGAGGACUUAAGAUCCUCUGGCGCAGGCCUUCGUGGGUUCAAGUCCCACCCCCGCCACCA
rnacentral:tRNA from 2 species